rnacentral:rRNA from 1 species
CCUACGGGAGGCUGUAGUGAGGAAUAUUGGUCAAUGGACGAGAGUCUGAACCAGCCAAGUAGCGUGAAGGAUGACUGCCCUAUGGAUUGUAAACUUCUUUUGUAAAGGAAUAAAGCGAGGCACGUGUGCGUUUUUGCGUGUACUUUAUGAAUAAGGAUCGGCUAACUCCGUGCCAGCAGCCGCGGUAAUACGGAGGAUCCGAGCGUUAUCCGGAUUUAUUGGGUUUAAAGGGAGCGUAGAUGGGUUGUUAAGUCAGGUGUGAAAGUUUGCGGCUCAACCGUAAAACUGCCAUUGAUACUGGUAGUCUUGAGUACAGUUGAGGUAGGCGGAAUGCGUGGUGUAGCGGUGAAAUGCUUAGAUAUCACGAAGAACCCCGAUUGCGAAGGCAGCUUACCAAACUGCGACUGACAUUGAUGCUCGAAAGCGUGGGUAUCAAACAGGAUUAGAUACCCCUGUAGUC